AGGUUGGUUAAGGCACUAAGCAGCAAGACUCCGAAACUAACCCCAAAGAAGGUGGAAGAAUUAGCAGAAGAGAGAGCAAAUCUUGCAUCAACAUGCUGUAUAAUUAAUGCACCCCCAGUGUACUGCAAGGAGAAGAUAAACAAAGUCAUUGGAAAAUCCUGUACUGGGCAGCCUUGCAUUCUACAAUAGGAACAUGGUUCGCAGUAAGUUAAAGCUCAUAGAAAAAAAGAAGAGUUUUCCAAGCAAGAUAUGUAGAAAAGGAGCUGGGUCUAUUCUGGAAAUACUGCAAUGUUCCACGGUUACUUGUUGCCGGACAGUUUUUUAUUAAACAGAAA